rnacentral:rRNA from 1 species
GGUUAAGCGACUAAGCGUACACGGUGGAUGCCCUGGCAGUCAGAGGCGAUGAAGGACGUGCUAAUCUGCGAUAAGCGUCGGUAAGGUGAUAUGAACCGUUAUAACCGGCGAUUUCCGAAUGGGGAAACCCAGUGUGAUUCGUCACACUAUCAUUAACUGAAUCCAUAGGUUAAUGAGGCGAACCGGGGGAACUGAAACAUCUAAGUACCCCGAGGAAAAGAAAUCAACCGAGAUUCCCCCAGUAGCGGCGAGCGAACGGGGAGCAGCCCAGAGCCUGAAUCAGUGUGUGUGUUAGUGGAAGCGUCUGGAAAGGCGUGCGAUACAGGGUGACAGCCCCGUACACAAAAAUGCACAUACUGUGAGCUCGAUGAGUAGGGCGGGACACGUGGUAUCCUGUCUGAAUAUGGGGGGACCAUCCUCCAAGGCUAAAUACUCCUGACUGACCGAUAGUGAACCAGUACCGUGAGGGAAAGGCGAAAAGAACCCCGGCGAGGGGAGUGAAAAAGAACCUGAAACCGUGUACGUACAAGCAGUGGGAGCACGCUUAGGCGUGUGACUGCGUACCUUUUGUAUAAUGGGUCAGCGACUUAUAUUCUGUAGCAAGGUUAACCGAAUAGGGGAGCCGAAGGGAAACCGAGUCUUAACUGGGCGUUAAGUUGCAGGGUAUAGACCCGAAACCCGGUGAUCUAGCCAUGGGCAGGUUGAAGGUUGGGUAACACUAACUGGAGGACCGAACCGACUAAUGUUGAAAAAUUAGCGGAUGACUUGUGGCUGGGGGUGAAAGGCCAAUCAAACCGGGAGAUAGCUGGUUCUCCCCGAAAGCUAUUUAGGUAGCGCCUCGUGAAUUCAUCUCCGGGGGUAGAGCACUGUUUCGGCAAGGGGGUCAUCCCGACUUACCAACCCGAUGCAAACUGCGAAUACCGGAGAAUGUUAUCACGGGAGACACACGGCGGGUGCUAACGUCCGUCGUGAAGAGGGAAACAACCCAGACCGCCAGCUAAGGUCCCAAAGUCAUGGUUAAGUGGGAAACGAUGUGGGAAGGCCCAGACAGCCAGGAUGUUGGCUUAGAAGCAGCCAUCAUUUAAAGAAAGCGUAAUAGCUCACUGGUCGAGUCGGCCUGCGCGGAAGAUGUAACGGGGCUAAACCAUGCACCGAAGCUGCGGCAGCGACGCUUAUGCGUUGUUGGGUAGGGGAGCGUUCUGUAAGCCUGUGAAGGUGUACUGUGAGGUAUGCUGGAGGUAUCAGAAGUGCGAAUGCUGACAUAAGUAACGAUAAAGCGGGUGAAAAGCCCGCUCGCCGGAAGACCAAGGGUUCCUGUCCAACGUUAAUCGGGGCAGGGUGAGUCGACCCCUAAGGCGAGGCCGAAAGGCGUAGUCGAUGGGAAACAGGUUAAUAUUCCUGUACUUGGUGUUACUGCGAAGGGGGGACGGAGAAGGCUAUGUUGGCCGGGCGACGGUUGUCCCGGUUUAAGCGUGUAGGCUGGUUUUCCAGGCAAAUCCGGAAAAUCAAGGCCGAGGCGUGAUGACGAGGCACUACGGUGCUGAAGCAACAAAUGCCCUGCUUCCAGGAAAAGCCUCUAAGCAUCAGGUAACAUCAAAUCGUACCCCAAACCGACACAGGUGGUCAGGUAGAGAAUACCAAGGCGCUUGAGAGAACUCGGGUGAAGGAACUAGGCAAAAUGGUGCCGUAACUUCGGGAGAAGGCACGCUGAUACGUAGGUGAAGCGACUUGCUCGUGGAGCUGAAAUCAGUCGAAGAUACCAGCUGGCUGCAACUGUUUAUUAAAAACACAGCACUGUGCAAACACGAAAGUGGACGUAUACGGUGUGACGCCUGCCCGGUGCCGGAAGGUUAAUUGAUGGGGUUAGCGCAAGCGAAGCUCUUGAUCGAAGCCCCGGUAAACGGCGGCCGUAACUAUAACGGUCCUAAGGUAGCGAAAUUCCUUGUCGGGUAAGUUCCGACCUGCACGAAUGGCGUAAUGAUGGCCAGGCUGUCUCCACCCGAGACUCAGUGAAAUUGAACUCGCUGUGAAGAUGCAGUGUACCCGCGGCAAGACGGAAAGACCCCGUGAACCUUUACUAUAGCUUGACACUGAACAUUGAGCCUUGAUGUGUAGGAUAGGUGGGAGGCUUUGAAGUGUGGACGCCAGUCUGCAUGGAGCCGACCUUGAAAUACCACCCUUUAAUGUUUGAUGUUCUAACGUGGACCCGUAAUCCGGGUUGCGGACAGUGUCUGGUGGGUAGUUUGACUGGGGCGGUCUCCUCCUAAAGAGUAACGGAGGAGCACGAAGGUUGGCUAAUCCUGGUCGGACAUCAGGAGGUUAGUGUAAUGGCAUAAGCCAGCUUGACUGCGAGCGUGACGGCGCGAGCAGGUGCGAAAGCAGGUCAUAGUGAUCCGGUGGUUCUGAAUGGAAGGGCCAUCGCUCAACGGAUAAAAGGUACUCCGGGGAUAACAGGCUGAUACCGCCCAAGAGUUCAUAUCGACGGCGGUGUUUGGCACCUCGAUGUCGGCUCAUCACAUCCUGGGGCUGAAGUAGGUCCCAAGGGUAUGGCUGUUCGCCAUUUAAAGUGGUACGCGAGCUGGGUUUAGAACGUCGUGAGACAGUUCGGUCCCUAUCUGCCGUGGGCGCUGGAGAACUGAGGGGGGCUGCUCCUAGUACGAGAGGACCGGAGUGGACGCAUCACUGGUGUUCGGGUUGUCAUGCCAAUGGCACUGCCCGGUAGCUAAAUGCGGAAGAGAUAAGUGCUGAAAGCAUCUAAGCACGAAACUUGCCCCGAGAUGAGUUCUCCCUGACCCUUUAAGGGUCCUGAAGGAACGUUGAAGACGACGACGUUGAUAGGCCGGGUGUGUAAGCGCAGCGAUGCGUUGAGCUAACCGGUACUAAUGAACCGUGAGGCUUAACCUU